UCAGGAUUUUGUGCAUUUCAUCAUAGUUAUUAUUAUUCAGGAAUGGGUGAGCACCAAUGUCAGGUAUCGAUCGGUCUAACCUUAUUUUUCGGUACCUGUAGAUACCGCCCAUACCAGCCACCGGAAUAAGUCCUCCUCGGCACUAUCCUGCGGCCGUUUGACACACGAGCGAAUGAAUCAUCAUCUGCGCUGCAAAGAAAGGCUGACUUUGGCUCAUUUCCAAAGGCUCUUCCUCUUAUGAGGCAGGGGCGGGUGGACCGAAAUAUUGCGGCACGCUCCUUUGAACAUCUGGCGAGCGUCAAGAGCGCCACGCAGGGCCUCCACCGGACCCCGGGUCAUCUGUCAGGCCGCUGACAGCGCCACACGCUGUUCAGAGUGAGAUUUUCAGUAUGGCUGCUUGGCAGUCAUCGCUCAAAUUAUGCCAGCAUGCGAUUUUCGAAAUGAAUACCGAUGUAUCUUGUGAGAAUGAAUCGAAAUGAAGGAUCGAAGAGCAGAUCCCGAGGUGCGCCGCUCGCCGAAUGAAAACGCAGCCUCGGUUUCCCCGGCAUCCGUCAACGUCCACUUUGGAGUGCCGCUUCGCCGUCGCCCCCUUUCAACGAUAGCGCUCGCCCCCUCCCGCCCCGCCGAGCUCUACCUCUCCCCUUCGACUUCCCUCCACCCCCCCGUCUGAUAUUGGCUCAUCACACUUAAUCUGUCCUGAGAUCUGCCGUUCUGUGCUAAAUGACUCGCAGCCCGCGGGCCGGGGCGCCCGCGAACGAGGGGAGAUAUUUAUUUUUCUCAGGGCUAAUGACCUGUCGCCGGGCCCCGCCCACUGAUGGUUAUUUACUGGGGCCCAGAUGCUGGCGCUCAAAAUGAGUGGUCAUGUCAGCAAGGGCCGCCAUCCUUCACAGACCCACCUCCACCCCUCGCGCCCCACCAAAAGCCCCCCCCCCUCG